rnacentral:tRNA from 1 species
GGGAAUGGUCGGGAUAGCUCAGUUGGUAAGAGCAGAGGUUACUGAAAUCUCUAU